rnacentral:siRNA from 1 species
ACCAAAGUGCACUUAUCUUUUC